rnacentral:rRNA from 1 species
UACGUAGGGUGCGAGCGUUGUCCGGAAUUACUGGGCGUAAAGAGCUUGUAGGUGGUUUGUCGCGUUGUUCGUGAAAUCUCACGGCUUAACUGUGAGCGUGCGGGCGAUACGGGCAGACUAGAGUACUGCAGGGGGAGACUGGAAUUCCUGGUGUAGCGGUGGAAUGCGCAGAUAUCGGGAAGAACACCUAUGGCGAAGGCAGCUCUCUGGGACGGUACUGACGCUGAGACGCGAAAGCGUGGGGAGCGAACAGG